UAGUAUGGGGAUCUGCCCGAUAGAGGGGAAUAACUACUGGAAACGGUGGCUAAUACCGCAUAAUGUCUACGGACCAAAGCAGGGGCUCUUCGGACCUUGCACUAUCGGAUGAACCCAUAUGGGAUUAGCUAGUAGGUGGGGUAAAGGCUCACCUAGGCGACGAUCUCUAGCUGGUCUGAGAGGAUGAUCAGCCACACUGGGACUGAGACACGGCUCAG
rnacentral:rRNA from 1 species